UGGGGAAUAUUGCACAAUGGGCGCAAGCCUGAUGCAGCCAUGCCGCGUGUGUGAAGAAGGCCUUCGGGUUGUAAAGCACUUUCAGCGAGGAGGAAGGUGGUGAGCUUAAUACGCUCAUCAAUUGACGUUACUCGCAGAAGAAGCACCGGCUAACUCCGUGCCAGCAGCCGCGGUAAUACGGAGGGUGCAAGCGUUAAUCGGAAUUACUGGGCGUAAAGCGCACGCAGGCGGUUUGUUAAGUCAGAUGUGAAAUCCCCGGGCUCAACCUGGGAACUGCAUUUGAAACUGGCAAGCUAGAGUCUCGUAGAGGAGGGUAGAAUUCCAGGUGUAGCGGUGAAAUGCGUAGAGAUCUGGAGGAAUACCGGUGGCGAAGGCGGCCCCCCUGGACGAAGACUGACGCUCAGGUGCGAAAGCGUGGGGCAGCAAACAGGAUUAGAUACCCUGGUAGUCCAGCGCUGUAAACGAUGUCGAUUUGGAGGUUGUGCCCUUGAGGCGUGGCUUCCGGAGCUAACGCGUUAAA
rnacentral:rRNA from 1 species